rnacentral:rRNA from 1 species
UCUACGGGUGGCAGCAGUGGGGAAUAUUGGACAAUGGGCGAAAGCCUGAUCCAGCCAUGCCGCGUGUGUGAAGAAGGCCUUCGGGUUGUAAAGCACUUUCAGUGGGGAAGAAAGCCUUGGGGCUAAUACCCUCGAGGAAGGACAUCACCCACAGAAGAAGUACCGGCUAACUCCGUGCCAGCAGCCGCGGUAAUACGGAGGGUGCGAGCGUUAAUCGGAAUUACUGGGCGUAAAGCGCGCGUAGGCGGUCUGAUAAGCCGGUUGUGAAAGCCCCGGGCUCAACCUGGGAACGGCAUCCGGAACUGUCAGGCUAGAGUGCAGGAGAGGAAGGUAGAAUUCCCGGUGUAGCGGUGAAAUGCGUAGAGAUCGGGAGGAAUACCAGUGGCGAAGGCGGCCUUCUGGACUGACACUGACGCUGAGGUGCGAAAGCGUGGGUAGCAAACAGGAUUAGAUACCCUUUAGUC